UCAUACCAUUAUCUUAAACGUUAAAACAUCCACUACCUUGUCCAGAUGAAUUUUCAAAGUCAAAACGUCAUACAUCCAAUGAACAAUAACAGGCUUUCUGAUUUUUCAGUCACAUUUCUAAUGUGUUGUGUGUUUCAUAAUUAUAAUUUGUCUAUAUGGACCAAACUGAAAUAUUUUUUACUAAGGAAGUAGAGUUCAGAAAUGUUUUAGUAAAGUGACUAACGUUUCAAUAGGCUUAGUGUGAAGCUCAGUGCGCAUCUGCUAAAAAUGAAAAGGUCUGAAAUUAUCUUCAGAUUUUUCCCCUACUGUGCACUUACACAGGUUAUAUAUAGUAAGCUACUGGAUAAUGAAACCCAUGAAAGAGUUUUUAAAAAUUAACUGAGAAGCCCAAGCAGCCAUGGAGAAAGCUCCCGUUCGAUUAGGUUCGCCUGCUUUUGUCUUAGAGCAAGUAACCACAGGCAAAGCUCCCAUCACCGCUUACUGAGCUCACUGGCUUUGUCUCGGCCUCUGAGAACCACCUCAUCAGAUUCAAAUCAUUUCAGUUCCCCCAUCUGGGCCUUUAAAUGCGGUGAGCACGGGAGGCGGCAUCCAAAGGAUCACACACUCAAGGUAAACUCCAAGUCCGAUCAGUGUCCGUGUCUCUACGGUAGAAUAAACUCCUGUUUCCUCUAUGCCUACCCUGUUCUGUGGCUUCUCAACACUUCCUAAAACCAGGAGGGAAGGCGGGAAUCCGGCCUUGAGCGCCUGCCCAGAACAAGGCCCUAAGGCAGCCAGGUCUGGCUCUUCUCCGCCCCUCAGAGCAUCCAACCGGGGAGAAACUCAAGCGCGGGGUAGGAAGCAAGACUGAGGGGCCUCAGACCGAGCUUUUGGAAAAUAGAAAAGUCUCGCUCUCUGCCCCUCAGCCUAACUUCCUUUAUAUCCUCACAAGUUUCUCCCUCAAACUUCGGGCUCGCAUCCUGGAAAAGCGUAGGGACACGGGCAUCUACGCAGCCCGGGGUUCCUCGCCUCCCCGCCUCCCCCAUGGCGACAGAGCCCCUGACUUCCGGACAACUCCAACCGCUCGGCCUAAAGACAGUCGCCGCGGCUUCGCACGCCCCAGCCUGACCCUAACUCCCGGCUCACUCACUGCCUGCCCGGGACCGCCAUCUUGUUCCCGUCUCCGCUGGACGUGGCGGACGCGGACGUGACCCUUCCUCUUUCAUUGCCUCAUCUAUCCACUGGCAUUCAGAUCAGAGGCUCCUCACCAUUUGUCUCAUGGAUGCACUCAAACACCAUCCAACUGGGUAAGAAGCCAUUUGGGAGGGAGCUCACACUGUGAUUCUAGCCAC